CCUGGUGGCUCAGACGGUAAAGAAUCUGCCUGCAAUGCAGGAGACCCAGGUUCGAUCCCUGGGUCAGGA
rnacentral:tRNA from 1 species